rnacentral:misc_RNA from 1 species
UAAUAAGUGUUUUAUGGCACUUUUUAAAUCCAUAUCCACCUUGUGUGCAAUGUCAGUCGAUCUUCUUUAUUGGAGAUCGACCAAACAUCAACCUUUAUUUUUUACUCUUUGUCUGAAAAAUAUUAUGAAUAAACAAUUCAAAAUA